rnacentral:rRNA from 1 species
UACAGAGGGGGCAAGCGUUGUUCGGAAUUACUGGGCGUAAAGGGCGCGUAGGCGGCCUUCUAAGUCGAACGUGAAAUCCCCGGGCUCAACCCGGGAACUGCGUCCGAUACUGGAAGGCUUGAAUCCGGGAGAGGGAUGUGGAAUUCCAGGUGUAGCGGUGAAAUGCGUAGAUAUCUGGAGGAACACCUGUGGCGAAAGCGGCUCACUGGACCACAACUGACGCUGAGGCGCGAAAGCUAGGGGAGCAAACAGG